UGCAUAUUAAUGCAUAUUAAUGCAUUUAAGGUACUUUAAACAAUGUGCCAUCUUCAUCUGUGAACAUUUUAAAGGCAUGUCUAAAUCUGGUUCUCGUGCCUUUAAACCCAAAUGAUAUAAUUUCCCUUGUUAUUUUAAUAGUUUCUUGCAAAUCACUUGUUUAGCAAGAGACAGAAAGAUAGAGGGCAGCACGGGACCAGAGUGCUAGCUGCCCUUCAGGAGAACAUGACUGCUUAACUUGCAGGUCUGAAGAGGUAGCCAAGACCGAGAGAGAAGUGGCAGGCAUGCCCGCAUCCUCUCCCCAACCUCUCCAGAAAGAGAUGCAGCGCCUCUUUCUCAUUGUUUAAGAAGAAAAGGGGGAACUUGGAGACGCAGCCAAUGAAGGAUAAAUGAGCGCUCUGCUAGUUCAAAGGCAACGUGCAGAUUGGACAGAGGAAGCGUGCAGAGCUCAGAAGGUCUCAGGCCCCACAAAAUCUGGAUCCACCCUUGCUCUCAGCAAUCCUGUUGAUAAAAAUUAUUCAUCAUUCAAAACCAAGAUCAAAUGUCACUUCCUUUAUAAAUUAUUUCCUGAAUCCCUAAUCAGGGAGAGAGACAGAGGCACAACAGGAUGUGUCCCAUACAUUUGUCUACGUAACCCACUGCAUCCCUGUGGCUGCCUGUGAGCCAGGAAUCGUUAUGCUCACAUACAGGUGAGGAAAAUGAGGUCUAGAAAGAGUGUGUAACUUUCUAAACCUCCGGUGGCAAGUAAGAGAAAAACCGGGGAUGCAAACCCGGGUCUGUCAGAUACGAUGUCUGUGAACUGUCCCUUAAGCUCUGUCAGCUCAAUUUAAUAACCAUUGGUGAUAGUCUGGGUGCCAUACAAUAAACCAAACGACCUACUCCUUACUGCCUGAGAG
rnacentral:lncRNA from 1 species